UACAGAGGUCUCAAGCGUUGUUCGGAUUCAUUGGGCGUAAAGGGUGCGUAGGCGGCGCGGUAAGUCGGGUGUGAAAUCUCGGAGCUUAACUCCGAAACUGCAUUCGAUACUGCGAGGCUUGAGACCGGAAGAGGUUAGUGGAACUGCGAGUGUAGAGGUGAAAUUCGUAGAUAUUCGCAAGAACACCAGUGGCGAAGGCGGCUGACUGGUCCGGAUCUGACGCUGAGGCGCGAAAGCGUGGGGAGCAAACAGG
rnacentral:rRNA from 1 species